UUGUCUUUUAAAUAAAGACCAGUAUGAAUGGCAAGACGAAAGUUCAACUGUCUCCCUAAAUUAAUCAGUGAAAUUGAUUUUCCCGUGCAGAAGCGGGAAUAAAAUUAUAAGACGAGAAGACCCUAUGGAGCUUUAAAUAUAUGAUCAAUUGUAUAAUAUAAACCCCGAAAGAUAACAUAUUAAAUGAAACAUCGUGAUCAAAAUUUUUAGGUUGGGGCGACCACGGAGAAAAGAAAAACCUCCGAGAUGAAAAGAUAUCUUAAUUUAUGAAUUACAAUUCUAAAAAAUAAAAUAUUUAACAUAAUUGAUCCAAUAGCUUGAUCAACGAACUAAGUUACCCUAGGGAUAACAGCGCAAUCCUUUCCAAGAGUCCUUAUCGACGAAUGGGUUUACGACCUCGAUGUUGGAUCAGGACACCCCAAUGGUGUAGUCGCUAUUAAAGGUUCGUUUGUUCAACGAUUAAAGU
rnacentral:rRNA from 1 species